ensembl:lncRNA
UAUAACACUACAACGUACUUUCGCGGAAAAUCGUACCUUUCUGAACUACAUCAUGCGAUUUAUGCGAGCGGCGAUAUGUUCUCUACCACUUAGUACAAUCGUGAAAGUUUAAACGCUUUACUCUUGCUCAUUCGCGAGUUUCCUUGCGAACAUUUUAUAAUGCAAACGACGAUUUACUUUUCUCCUAGAAUUUACAUAAAAUAUAUUAAAGGUUUUGAUUUUUACACUAAGCUAAUUUUAACUUCACUACCUAAUAUAGUCAACCGGUGCUUAUUUUGAAGUCCGAGACAGCUGUCUCGAUCGCUUUUUUACAAUCUGUAAAAAAACUUUAAGAAAGUAAAUCAAGGUAAUCUAACAUACUGCGAAGUUGGGCUGCAUCUUUUGAUAACUUCAGUAGUCUUUUAAAAACUAUUUAUUUCAGUUUGACUCUAAGCACUUGACCGAAAUGUAGUGCUGUUUGCGUCUGAAUUGUUUUAGCAUUUUGACGUUUGCCCUUUUUUUUAAACAAAAUUUAUUUUUGUGGAGGCAGAAAAUGAUUUCCUACGGCUUAUUUUAUCACAACGGUGACUUAAACUCGGGCAAGCUGCUCGGUUUGUCGCUUACCCUCUUGGCCCUAACAGCGGCAUGUCAUGUAAAACUCGGCAUGUAAAACUCUGCCGCUCGUGGAGACUCCCAGCAAGGAUUCAAACAGCUUUGGAUCUUUACUCAUGGACCUCAUGGACGAACCGCGCCGCUAUGUGGAGUCCAUGGUUGGCACCCACGCAGCUGAAACCUUUUUUGCGAAAACACUAGGGUACCUUGAAUCACUGUUUGGGCUAGAGAACGUUCAUACUGUUGUCAUGGUAAGAGGUCUAUGCAAAGCAGUCUGCAGCGUCUGGAUUGACUGAGGAGCAUGCGGUUACGUGCUGUCUGUGUUUUCAUCCCUGCUUUCAAUCUGCUUCGACCCGUGUGAAAGAAACAUUUGUAUUAAUGUAUUGUCUAUAGGUACAUGCGCUCUUGUUUAUUGUGGUUUUAUUUAGACCAGCUGCCUGUUUGUCAUCUUGAAGCAGACAGUGUGACAGGUGUUAAAUACCAUGCUAUUUAGCAAACAACUGUCUUGGUA